UACGUAGGGUCCGAGCGUUGUCCGGAAUUAUUGGGCGUAAAGGCUCGUAGGCGGUCUGUUGCGUCGGGAGUGAAAACUUACAGCUUAACUGUGAGCGUGCUUCCGAUACGGGCAGACUUGAGGUAUUCAGGGGAGAACGGAAUUCCUGGUGUAGCGGUGAAAUGCGCAGAUAUACAGGAGGAACACCGGUGGCGAAGGCGGUUCUCUGGGAAUAUCCUGACGCUGAGGAGCGAAAGUGUGGGGAGCGAACAGG
rnacentral:rRNA from 1 species